CUUGCUAGAACUUGGAAACAGGUGGCUGGCACGGCUGUCGUCAGCUCGUGUCGUGAGAUGUUGGGUUAAGUCCGCUAACGAGCGCAACCCUCGCUGUGUGUUAUAUGUGUCACACGGGACUGCCGGUCUUAAGCCGGAGGAAGUGGGAUGAUGUCAAGUCAGCAUGGCCUUUAUAUCCUGGGCUACACACACGCUACAAUGGCCAACACAAUAGGUUGCUAAGCCGCGAGGUGGCGCCAAUCCAUAAAGUUGGUCUCAGUUCAGAUUGUAGGCUGCAACCCGCCUGCAUGAAGAUGGAGUUGCUAGUAACCGCAGGUCAGCUAUACUGCGGUGAAUACGUUCCCGGGGCCGUU
rnacentral:rRNA from 1 species